AAACUAACACUAUAUACCGCACAAGAAAAGUUGAAGUUUAAGAAAAUGAGAAUAUUUAAAUUCUUCUCCGAUAGUCUAUUUCUUCUCUCGGACAUAAUCUGUCCAGCUUUUGAAAAUAUUCUUUCUGCUGGGACAGAUGUGGCAGGAAUUGACAGUUUCAGAUAAUUUUCUAUUUGGCUGGAAGCACUUUCUGCAGGCUCAGAAGAACUUCUGGUGAAAUGCAAUACUUUAUCCAGGGUAUGUUUCCAAAAAUUUAUUCGUUGGUCAUCUAUUUGUGCUUCUUGCAAAUCUUGUACUUCUUGCCUGGUAUUUGGUGUAGGUGUAGCCAAUAUACUAAUAUAUCGAAUAACUCAAAUUUUCGGCUUUACUGAGGCUUACGCCUCUUUCGCCAUCCACUUCGAAAUUAAUCAAGCUGUAUUGAAAUCUGACGUCAUUGCCAGCAAACAAUACUUUCUCUAAACAACUAUCACAAGUGUCAACAAUCAACCACAUGAUAAUGUGGCUUAAAAAAUGCACAAACAUAACUUCUUCCUCACAAUUGGCCAAUGUGCACAAUGCAAAUAUGGUCAAUUUUAGAGGUUUACUCUUUCCAUUUCUUAACUCAUGUAAGUAGAACAGUAUAUAUAAUAACCGACCUACCGUCUCAUAUUCAAAUCUAUCUAUAUCUCCAUGAUUUAUCAAAUGUCUGUAUUCAUCAGUCAUUCUUUUCGCAAAAAGUCUAUUGAUAUUUUCGCAAGAACGCACUAAAUCUUCAGGUUCACUAACGUGACAGAUAGGGAAAAGUCUUUUAUAAAAUUUCCCGUUAUCGUCAUUUCUUCUACUCCAAGCCUUUUUAACAUGGCGACCAACCAAGGAAUAACUCAGAGCUUUCGAAUGCACAAUAUCCUGUUCAUCCUCAUUUAUUAUUAUAUCAUUUAUGGAACCUGUGCGGUUGACGACUAAGUUUAGACGUCUCAGAUUUCCUCCAAUGUAUAUUCUUACACUUUCUUGUUCUCUUGCACCAACUAAUGGUAUCGCUAGUCUCGGGAAAUCAUAACGAUCUCUCGGUCGCAUCUCAGGCCUUAGAAAGUAUCUUCCCACGCAACCGUUCUCAGAAUAAUCAAUGAACGGCUGCACAGGAUAAACUUUAGAAGACAGCUCCGCUAGCAUUUGCUCCCUAGGAGGUAAAGCAACAGCGGCUGGUAUAAACACUCGCUGCACUAUUACUCCGGGGGGCUUAGCAAACAUACGCACCGUACCACCGCACUCCAUUACGAUCGUAGCAGUAACGCU